AACGAACGCUGGCGGCAGGCCUAACACAUGCAAGUCGAGGGAGAAGCUGACUUCGGUCAGUGGACACCGGCGCACGGGUGCGUAACACGUGGGAACGUACCCUCAGGUACGGGAUAACAUGGGGAAACUCAUGCUAAUACCGUAUAAUAUCUCCGGAUCAAAGCUCCGGCGCCUGAGGAUCGGCCCGCGCCUGAUUAGCUAGUUGGUGAGGUAAGAGCUCACCAAGGCGACGAUCAGUAGCUGGUCUGAGAGGAUGAUCAGCCACACUGGGGCUGAGACACGGCCCAGACUCCUACGGGAGGCAGCAGUGAGGAAUAUUGGACAAUGGGCGCAAGCCUGAUCCAGCCAUGCCGCGUGAGUGAAGAAGGCCUUCGGGUUGUAAAGCUCUUUCUAGAUGUGAAGAUGAUGACGGUAGCAUCGAAGAAGCCCCGGCUAACUUCGUGCCAGCAGCCGCGGUAAUACGAAGGGGGCGG
rnacentral:rRNA from 1 species